rnacentral:misc_RNA from 1 species
CAGAUAGUUCAUGUCGUGAUUGCAGGAAAUUCAGUUGAAAUUCCCAGUGGACUUCUUAAUGGACAGAAUUUGGCGUCAAAGGAUCAAUCAAGACUAUCUGAGCCAGUCAAAGAGCUUGAUAUAUUGUUGUCUCAGAUUGCUGCAGGUGUGCCUUUGGAUAUCAUGCCUGGACCCAAUGACCCAGCAAAUUUUUCCUUACCUCAGCAGCCUCUGCACAGAUGCCUUUUCCCAGGAUCAGCAGCUUAUAACACUUUUAGGUCUUGUACUAAUCCUCAUUGCUUUGAGCUUGAUAACAUCAGAUUUCUUGGAACGUCGGGUCAGAAUAUUGAUGAUCUGGAGAAGUAUUCAGAGGCAAAGGAUAAGCUUGAAUUUAUGGAAAGGACAUUAAAGUGGAGGCAUCUGGCACCAACAGCACCUAAUACUCUCGGGUGUUAUCCUUUCACCGAUAGGGAUCCUUUCCUGAUAGAGAGCUGUCCUCAUGUGUAUUUUGUUGGUAAUCAGGAUAAAUAUGGAACUCGUGAGUUAAGGGGUUCAGAAGGGCAGUUGGUAAAACUCCUUUCCAUUCCAAAAUUCUG